GAAUAUGUUACUCUUUAUAUUAGUGGAAACAAAAGUUUUACUCCCAUUUUAUUUUCUAAUUAACUUUUUUUAUCCCUCCCUUUUACUCUAUUAUUUACCAAUCCAAUCCUAUGGCUCUGAUUGAAAAGUACAUCCAAAUAUAAUAAUUUGGAGUAAAAUAAUUUUCUGUUGAGUUAUUAUGAUUUUUAGCCAAUUAAUUGGAAAUACUUUUCACCCAUUAAAGCUAAAAAGGAAGGAAAGUAGACCAAUAUGUUACUUUCAAUAAUAGUGGAAAUAAAUUUUUUACUAACAUUUUCACUUUUUUUUUAAUUUUCUCCU
rnacentral:lncRNA from 1 species